UGUUUCGGCUAGGGGGCCAUCCCGGCUUACCAACCCGAUGCAAACUGCGAAUACCGGAGAAUGUUAUCACGGGAGACACACGGCGGGUGCUAACGUCCGUCGUGAAGAGGGAAACAACCCAGACCGCCAGCUAAGGUCCCAAAGUCAUGGUUAAGUGGGAAACGAUGUGGGAAGGCCCAGACAGCCAGGAUGUUGGCUUAGAAGCAGCCAUCAUUUAAAGAAAGCGUAAUAGCUCACUGGUCGAGUCGGCCUGCGCGGAAGAUGUAACGGGGCUAAACCAUGCACCGAAGCUGCGGCAGCGACACUCAGGUGUUGUUGGGUAGGGGAGCGUUCUGUAAGCCUGUGAAGGUGUGCUGUGAGGC
rnacentral:rRNA from 1 species